UGUGAGAACGCCCUUAGUCCCUAUUAUGGACAAGGAGCUGGUAUCAGGCGCAAUAAUUAGCCCAAGACACCUAGCCAUGCCACACCCACAAGGGAAUUCAGCAGUAAUUAAUAUUGAAUAUAAGCGUCAGCUUGAUUCGGUUAAAGUAAAAAGGGCCGGCAAAUAUGGUGCCAGCCGCCGCGGUUACACCAUAUGACCCAAAUUGAUCCCCUACGGCGUAAAGCGUGAUUAAAGUUACUAUAUAUUGUAGUUAAACUACUAAUAGGCUGUAAUACGCUUUUAUUUAGGAAGCUCAAAAACGAAAGUUACUGCAUGCAAAACAACUUGAAUUCACAACAGUUAGGUUACAAACUAGGAUUAGAUACUCUACUAUGCCUAACUAUAAACUUUUAAUUUACACCAAAUAUCGCCUGGGAACUACGAGCAAAGCUUAAAACCCAAAGGACUUGACGGUACCCCACAUCCCCCUAGAGGAGCCUGUCCUUUAAUCGAUACUCCACGUUUAACCUCACCAUUUUUAGCUAAUCAGUCUGUAUACCUCCGUCGUCAGCUUACCACGUGAGCGACUUAAAGUAAGCUAAAUGUUUAUUUUACAUCAAUACGUCAGGUCAAGGUGCAACUAAUAAAAUGGAAAGAGAUGGGCUACACUCUCUAACAUAGAAUACACAAAAGACUAACUGAAAACUAGUUGUAAGGUGGAUUUAGAAGUAAAAAAAAACUAGAGAGUUUUUUUUAACACGGCACUGGGGUGUGUACACACCGCCCGUCACCCUCUUUGAAGCCAUCAUACUAGUAUUUAACAAACAAACGCAUAGUAGAAGAGGUAAGUCGUAACAUGGUAAGUAUACCGGAAGGUGUGCUUGGAAA
rnacentral:ncRNA from 1 species